rnacentral:rRNA from 1 species
GACGAACGCUGGCGGCGUGUUUAACACAUGCAAGUCGAACGGUAAGGCCCUUCGGGGUACACGAGUGGCGAACGGGUGAGUAACACGUGGGUGAUCUGCCCUGCACUUCGGGAUAAGCCUGGGAAACUGGGUCUAAUACCGGAUAGGACUCCUGGCUUCAUGGUUGGGGGUGGAAAGCUUUUGCGGUGUGGGAUGGGCCCGCGGCGUAUCAGCUUGUUGGUGGGGUAAUGGCCUACCAAGGCGACGACGGGUAGCCGGCCUGAGAGGGUGACCGGUCACACUGGGACUGAGAUACGGCCCAGACUCCUACGGGAGGCAGCAGUGGGGAAUAUUGCACAAUGGGCGCAAGCCUGAUGCAGCGACGCCGCGUGAGGGAUGACGGCCUUCGGGUUGUAAACCUCUUUCAGCUAUGACGAAGCGCAAGUGACGGUAGUAGCAGAAGAAGGACCGGCCAACUACGUGCCAGCCGCCGCGGUAA